rnacentral:lncRNA from 1 species
AAACUUAGCAUAGAUCUAAAUAAAUUGAAUUCUACAGGAGUUAAUAGCUGCACUGAACUCACAUCUCGUUCAUAAAAACUUUAUCUCAGUUCAUUAGAGCAAAAACAAACUGAAGGACAACAUAUUCAUACAAACAGAGUAUUAACUUAUCUAAAACCAAAUGACUGAAGGCAAACACUUAUUUAGUGUUUCUAACAUAACUUAAAAUUACCAGAGAAAAGAUCAAACAAGCAUCUGAAGAAAACUUAAUUAAUUACAGGAAUAAAUAUUUUGCAGAAAUAACAUCUAUGUACAAAUGUGUCACUGAUUUUCAAACUCAAAUCCAACAGCUUCAAAGCCUUUCAUUUCAACAUGUUAAUGAGGUGCAGUGAGUACCUGGUUACAUCAAAUAAACAACAAAAAGACUGAAGUUAUGAAGCGGCAACAGUAGUAAUUCAACAGAGAAGAAGCAAUAGCAGAAUCAGCUCAAAAAUCUGCAAUAGAACAGUGAUCAAACAGCCUUUAAACCAUCUUUGAAUCCCCAGAAUAAGCUUGAAAUCCUUUGAGUGUUUUAGAAUGGAAAGACUAAUUGCAGAACUAGAUCAAUUUUCCACCAAAAUGCAAGAAUUUUGAAGUUCUUUUUAGCUCAGCCGUUUGCAACUUUUCAGAAUUUUUAGUCUCUAAAUUCUGACUUGUGAGUGAAGAAAGAAUGCCUUUAUAGGCAUGCCUUAGGGCAGCAGAAAAUGAAUUCAGUUUUACUCUUUUAAUCCUUUUUGAAUUUUCAUUUUUGCUCUCAUGUCCUUGGUAUAAAAAUCAGUCCUUCAGAUAAGUCCCAAUCCCUACCUUCCUGGAAGGUUCCUAAGUUAGUUACAAGAGAUUCCCUAACCUAAAUUUCCUAAUCUAACCCUUAAGACCCAUGCUUUUACCCCUGAAACCAAAUGGGUCAAAUUGACCCAAUAACUAAACAUGAUGAAUGAGCUGCCCCGUUGAAAGUGGAUCAAAAUUAAUCCCAAGGCCCAAAACCAAUCAGAAAUCCGUUUGGGUAAUUCAGGAAAAAUAGAAGAAGUAAUUACUAAAAUUCUAACUAAGCGACUACUUUCUUUUUCUUUUUUUUUAGGCUAACUAAUGAACUAUAAUUAAACUACAUAUUAAAAAUUAAAUCAAACCUAAUUUAAAAGAUUACAAAACUAAAAUAAGAAGGGCAAAGAUCAGAAGUUUAAACCUAAAAACUAAACAAGUCAAUAAACAAAAUCAGUGCACAACUUUUUUUUAAAAGCAAUUGAAGAGAAAAACUGAAAAUCCAACGGAGCAAAUACGAACACCAAAUUAAUCUAAAGGGAAGAACUAGGUUCGAAGCCAUUCACAAUUUCAGUCAGAAGACAGACCACUCAAAUAAACGGAGAAGAAAAGAUGAAGAAUAAGAGGUGAAACAAAAAGAACGGACAAAGAGAUGAAGAAAACUUACCAAAUCAAAAAUCAAAACCCAUUGGAGACAUUGAUUUAACGAAAACUAAUGUUAAUAAUUUGUUCUUUGUCAAGAACAACUGAACAACAUCAGUUUCGUUGGGUCAAAACUUCAAACACUAAAGAAACAGCAGCCUAUGGUCAUACAUGCCACCGGGUUCAACGGAAAAUGAAUUUGGACUUUUAGGGUUAGAACUCAGAUUUAAAAUUCGAAGAGUUCUGGACAGAUUCGAGAAAAAAUGGUCCGGGUUUGGGAAAGGGGAUGAUGUGAGGGUCUUGUGGUGUAGAUUUUGGGCUGGUUAGAGGCGCCGCCACCGACCGGUGAGUGGGGAAUUGAAAGGCGGCGUCUCUAGGGUUCUUUAGAGAUGAAGAAGGA